UACGAAGGGGGCUAGCGUUGCUCGGAAUCACUGGGCGUAAAGCGCACGUAGGCGGCUUGUUAAGUCAGGGGUGAAAUCCUGGAGCUCAACUCCAGAACUGCCUUUGAUACUGGCGAGCUUGAGUCCGGGAGAGGUGAGUGGAACUGCGAGUGUAGAGGUGAAAUUCGUAGAUAUUCGCAAGAACACCAGUGGCGAAGGCGGCUCACUGGCCCGGUACUGACGCUCAUGCACGAAAGCGUGGGGAGCAAACAGG
rnacentral:rRNA from 1 species